UUAUUUAUUUUGUGAAAAGAAGAGACAGAAAAUACCUUAUUAUCUGCAGGGACUCAACGCUGUACCCGAAUCAAGAAAGAAAAUAACAAUAGAAACCAUUCACACACUCUGUUCAUGCACGGACACCAGAAGACGAUUCAGAACACCAGAGGAGAAUAAGCCGGAGUGCCAGCACCACGAUGGCCCUGGCACGUUGUUUAAGAUCUGAGAUCCCUUGGUUUCUCUCAUGUUUAUCUGAGAUGCCACAUCAGGGCCCUUGCUGCUAUAUUACCUCUGCCCGGGUGUUUGAGACCGGUCACAAGUGCGUGGGUGUUUCCUGGAAAUGUAUUCCCCUGGGACUCAGCGAUGCUCUGGGAACCGUUGGGGUUUGGGGAAGGACAAUGUGGUGUGACUAUUGGCCUGACACGUUGUGGAUGUGGUUGGAGUCAUCCACGUGGACACGAUUUUCAGCUUGGAGCUGGGAUGGAGAAGAUGGAAGCGCUGGGGGCCGGGCCUCCUUUUCCAGCAAGGCUGGCCCUGAUUUCUCCUCUGUUCCAGCUUGUCUGCCAGAAGCCUUCCCCUGCAAACUGCCCACCUGCCCGGAGACAGAGGGAGCAGCUGAGGCCUCUCUCCACUGGCCGCCAGCCUCCCCAGCACAAGAGGACUAUUCAGCUAUGAGUGUUUACUCAUGUUCUUUCUUAUUGAUGAGUUCUGCGGCCCAGCCUAUAGAAAUGGCUCAGAACAUUCCAGGCCUUGGUGAGACAGAGCAGCAUCCAGCACUCACAGGCUGUCCCCGCUCUACCUGUUCCCAUCUUCCCCUUGGGGCCUGUUCAUAAAUUGAGGAACGGAUAAGGGCCCUGGAGGGUCCUUGGGAGUAAUUAGUGGAGGGCAGGAUUCCCAGGUCCCCGUAGAGAGGGAAGGAGAAGCCCACGUGUGCACAGAAGCCCGUCUCUGUCACACACACACCGCAGGUGGUCACCGAUUUAUUUUCCAAAAGCUUAGAAAUAUAAAGCAAAUUUAGGCUUUUGUCCCUCUGCGAUACAUGCACUUGAAAAUAAACAGAAAAGAGAUGUUUAA